rnacentral:rRNA from 1 species
CAAGCGUUAUCCGGAAUUAUUGGGCGUAAAGCGCGCGUAGGCGGUUUUUUAAGUCUGAUGUGAAAGCCCACGGCUCAACCGUGGAGGGUCAUUGGAAACUGGAAAACUUGAGUGCAGAAGAGGAAAGUGGAAUUCCAUGUGUAGCGGUGAAAUGCGCAGAGAUAUGGAGGAACACCAGUGGCGAAGGCGACUUUCUGGUCUGUAACUGACGCUGAUGUGCGAAAGCGUGGGGAUCAAACAGGAUUAGAUACCCUGGUAGUCAAGGGCG